GUGCUCACUUCAGCAACACAUAUAAUAAAAUUGGAAUGAUACAGAGAAGAAUAGUACGGUCCUUGUGCAAGGAUGACAUGCAAAUUCGUGAAGCAUUCCAUAUAUUC